UACGAAGGGGGCUAGCGUUGCUCGGAAUCACUGGGCGUAAAGCGCACGUAGGCGGAUCGCUAAGUCAGGGGUGAAAUCCUGGAGCUCAACUCCAGAACUGCCUUUGAUACUGACGGUCUUGAGUUCGGGAGAGGUGAGUGGAACUGCGAGUGUAGAGGUGAAAUUCGUAGAUAUUCGCAAGAACACCAGUGGCGAAGGCGGCUCACUGGCCCGAUACUGACGCUGAGGUGCGAAAGCGUGGGGAGCAAACAGG
rnacentral:rRNA from 1 species